rnacentral:rRNA from 1 species
UACGAAGGGGGCUAGCGUUGCUCGGAAUCACUGGGCGUAAAGCGCACGUAGGCGGAUUGUUAAGUCAGGGGUGAAAUCCUGGAGCUCAACCUCAGAAUUGCCUCCGAUACUGGCAGUCUCGAGUGCGGGAGAGGUGAGUGGAAUUCCCAGUGUAGAGGUGAAAUUCGUAGAUAUUGGGAAGAACACCAGUGGCGAAGGCGGCUCACUGGCCCGUAACUGACGCUGAGGUGCGAAAGCGUGGGGAGCAAACAGG